rnacentral:lncRNA from 1 species
AUGAUUUUUUUUUUCAAAGGAAGCCUAGGCCCCGCCCCCUCAGCGGCCGAGCGAACGGCCGCGGACGAAUCAGCGGCGCCGAGACAUCCCUCUGAGGCCCGGGCCGCGCAGGAGCCAAUGAGCGGCGGGUUGAGAUUUCGGCGGCGGCGGGGGCGCGCGUGCGCGCGGGGGGCGGGGCCCGCGAGCGAGGGCGCGAGCGAGGGCGCGAGCGAGGGCGCGAGCGAGGGCGCGAGCGAGGGCGCGAGCGAGGGCGCGAGCGAGGGCAGGCUGAGGCGGCGGGGACGGGACGGGGCGGGACGGGACGGGGCACGACGCCGCACCACCCGCCGCUCCGACGGCUCCCGGGCCGCCGCGGGGGAGCGAAGGAGCGGCCGCAUGAUGCCGGGGCGAGAGGCCGGAGGGGCCCCGGGCAGCUCAGUUCCCGGCAAAGCGGCGACUCGACUGUGUGAGAGGAGGAAGGAGCAACGUCGUCCCCGAGCCGGAGAGUGGAGAUUCUGAAGGAGGACUCGAUGAACACGAGCAGAAUUGUCCAACUAGGACGAGUUCUAAGGGGUACGUGGUGCGGAUGCUUUGCGUUUCCCUCGUUAGAUUGUAUUUCAAGCUCCUCGAGGGCCAGGGUAGAGUUUUUGCUUUCUGCUAAAUCUUCCCCCUCUAAACCUAGGAGAAAUCGUAAUUAUUAUAGUGAUAUUUUUAAGCACCUACUCUGCAUGGCUUCUGUACCUCUGUCCUAAGUGCUGGGGUAGUUACAGGAUCAUCCAGUUGGACACGGUCUCUGUCCCACAAGAGGCUCUGAGUGGAGAGGAGGAUCGAGUAAUUCAUCCCCAUUUGACAGAUGAGGAAACUGAGGCCCAGAGAAGUUUGUUCUGGUCUUUGUUAAGCGCUUACAAUGUGCCAGGCACUAUACUAAGCACUGGGGUAGGUACAAGCUAAUUAGGGUGGAUCCGAUCCCUGUCCCACAGGGGGCUCACAGUCUUAAUCCCCAUUUUACAGAUGAGGAAACUGAGGCCCAGAGAAGUUCAGCGACUUGCCCAAGAUCACCCAGCAGGUAAGGGGCAGAACCGGGCUGAGACCCCGGGUCUCGAUGAAUCAAUCAAUCAGUCGGUGGUCUUUAUUGAGGCCCUUACUGUGUGCAGAGCACUGUACUAAGCGCUUGGAAGAGUACAGUACGAGUCCGGGAGACGUGUUCCCGGCCCACAACGAGCUUACAGUCUAGUGGGGGAGACUAGUGCUGUUUUACUGAAAGCUUAGGAAAGUGCCGUGAGGGCGCUCAGUAAGUCCCAUCAUCAUUAUUACCACUAAAACCACCACUACUGUUCUGUCCUAAACAAUGGAAAGAAACACUCGACCCAUUGCCCGCAGUUGGACUUCACGGGAGAGUGUAAAUUUCCCCAUUUGUGUUUUCUUAAAGUGCUGUCUUGGCCUAGGCGAUAACUUGUCUAGCCUGGAGCUAUGGUGGUUUAUUGUUUUUUCCCCUCAGGGAGAUUGGCACUCAGCUCCAGAGCUGCCUCCUGAACGGGUUGUGACUGAAAAAACGCUCUGUUUGUUUCUGAAGCUAGUGAGUUGUGGUCCAAGAAUCAUCCCGUAAAAGAAUCCAAUUCCUCGCCAGUCAAAGUAUACUGGGGAUAGGCCGGAGACACCGGAGACAGUUUGGUGUAGUGGGAAGGGUGUUGAUCCCAGGCCUGCCGGGCUGUUUGUUUGUUUUUUCCCCCCAGUGGUAUUUGUUAAGCGCUUACUAUGUGCCAGGCGCCAUUCUAAGCCCUAAGGUAGCUGCAAGGUAUUCAGGUUGGACCCAGUCCCUGUUCCACACGGAGUUCACGGUCUUCCUCCCCAUUUUACAGAUGAGGGAACUGAGGCCCGGAGAAGUAAAGUGACUCAUCCAAGGUCCCCCCAGCAGACAAGUGACAGAGCCGGGAUUAGAACUAGGUCCCACCGACCCCCAGGCCCGUGCUCCAUCCGCUUGGCCACGCUGCUUGUCGUUGGCGGGUUACGUGGCCUCGGGCAAGCCAUCUGACCGUCCCAGACCUCGGCUUCCUCACCAGUACUGUGGGAUGAGCCACCUGCUCUCCCCGAUUCUGAGACUGCGAGCUCUGUCGGGGACAGGAGCCGUGUCAGUCGAUCGAUCGUAUUUAUUGAGCGCUUACUGUGUGCAGAGCAGCGUACUAAGCGCUUGGGAGAGUCCAACGCAACGGUAUAACAGACACGUUCCCUGCCCACAAUGGCCAUCUUCUUGUGCUGGGUCCACUCCAGCCCAUGAUAAGCACUUCCCAAUACCCAAGUGAAUGAAUACAUCAUAAUUGUGGUAUUGGUUAAGUGCUGACCGCGUGCCAAGCACUCUACUGAGCACUGGAGUGGUUUCCAAAGACCACGUCAAGCGCUUCCCUCUACCCAGGUGAAUGAACCGAAAAAUAGAUCGUACCUGCGGUAUCGUUUUAGUGCCGAUCGCGUGCCAAGCACCGUACUGAGCACUGGGGGAGGUUCCAGUCGGGCUGGCCGGACACAGCCCCCGUCCCACACGGGCCUCCCGCGUCUAACUAGUUAGGAGAACGGGUGCGGGAUGCCCAUUUUCCAGAUGAGGAAACCAGGUCCAGAGAUGUGAAGCGACUGGCCCAAGGUCACCCAGCCGGUAAGCGGCGGAACCGGGAUCAGAACCCAAGUCUUCCGAUCCUUAGGCCCGGGGUUUUCCCAUCAGGCCACGCGGUGCUUCCGGCCUGCUAACCCGCGUCUCUCCCAAUUGUCAGUAAGUCAGUCAUUCGCAUUGGGAGGCAGUGUGGCCAAGUGGAUAGAACCCGGGCCUGGGAGUCCGAAGGACCUGGAUUCUAAUCCUGACUCUGCCCCUUGCUUGCUGGGUGACCUUGGUCGAGUCACUUAAUUUCUCCGUGCCUCAGUUACCUCAUCUGUAAAAUGGGGAUUAAUAAUAAUAAUAAUAAUAAUAAUUGUGGUAUUUGUUAAGUGCUUAAUAUGUGCCAGGCACUGUACCAGUUGCUGGGGUGGACACAAGCCAGUGGGAUUGGACACAGCCCCUGUUCCAGGUGGGGCUCUUAAUCUCAAUCCCCAUUUUACAGUUGAGGUAACUGAGGCCCAGAGAAGUGAAGUGACUUGCCCGAGGUCCCACAGCAGUCAAGUGGCAGAGCCAGGAUUAGAACCCAUGACCCUCUGACUCCCGGGCCCGUGCUCUAUCCGCUACGCCGAGCGUGUGCGGCCCGUGUGGGACGGGGACUGCGUCCAACCUGAUUAGCUCGUCUCUACCCCAGCGCUUAGAACGGUGCUCGACCCAUAGUGAGCGCUUAACAAAUACCAUCAUCAUUUUUAGUAGUUUUGUUAUUUACUGAGCGCUUACCGUGGGCAGAGCACCGUACUAAGCGCCCGGGAAAGUCCGACAGAACAAAAACCAGAGCGGCGGCCAAGCGCGCCUCUUGGGUUUCCCUCCCCGGCCAGAUGCGGAGCCCGCGUCCCCACGGCCCGGCCGUGAUCUGAGGAGAGCUCCUCGCCGACGGACCCCGGCGUAGAGUCGGGGAAG